rnacentral:rRNA from 1 species
AACGAACGCUGGCGGCAGGCCUAACACAUGCAAGUCGAGCGAGGACUUCGGUCCUAGCGGCGGACGGGUGAGUAACGCGUGGGAACGUGCCCUUUGCUUCGGAAUAGCAGUGGGAAACUGGGAGUAAUACCGGAUGAGCCCUUUGGGGGAAAGAUUUAUCGGCGAAGGAUCGGCCCGCGUUGGAUUAGGUAGUUGGUGGGGUAAUGGCCUACCAAGCCGACGAUCCAUAGCUGGUCUGAGAGGAUGAUCAGCCACACUGGGACUGAGACACGGCCCAGACUCCUACGGGAGGCAGCAGUGGGGAAUAUUAGACAAUGGGGGAAAGCCUGAUCUAGCCAUGCCGCGUGAGCGAUGAAGGCCUUAGGGUUGUAAAGCUCUUUUAGCUGGGAAGAUAAUGACGGUACCAGCAGAAGAAGCCCCGGCUAACUCCGUG